rnacentral:lncRNA from 10 species
GGGGCGUUCUUUUCUAAUCUGAGAAACUCCAAGGAGGUGGGGCCCGCGAGACACAACAGGCAGGCUAAAUUGUGCGGUUAACGGUCAAAGCCCCCCUGCCUACUUUGACACUCAUUUAAAGAUGACAGGGAACAAUAGAGAUUUGUUCUGUGCAACCCUUUCUUGUUAUGCCGGCGACAUCAGCUCCGCACAUGAAACUGCCCGAUAUUUCAUUCCACCUGCCACCUCCCUCCCGCCUCGGUCGACUCUCUCCUCUGCUACUUUGCUUGUCCCCACUUUAACACAAAGAGACAGGUAAAGAAUAUCGUCAAGAAGGGUCCAUUCAGCAUGUCAGCUUUCAUAAUACAAUCAGCUCUGUGUUCACAGCACCUAACAGUGUUGAAAAAGAAUGCUAUUUAAAACCCGAGUUGAGACAUCACCUUUCCAAACCCAUGACUGCUUCCUGGCUCACUAAACACGAACCAGAAAUUAAUGCUGCAAAGAGCAGGAGACAAGAGAUUCGACUGUGUUAGCCAGGAUGGUCUCGAUCUCCUGACUUCGUGAUCUGCCCGCCUCAGCCUCCCAAAGUGCUGGGAUUACAGGCUUGAGCCACUGUGCCUGGCUUCAGGCUGGGAUUUUUAUAGCUUAUUAUGGCAAGGGAGGAGACGGAGAGUAAAAGAAGAAGGAAGAGCAUACACAGUCACCCCUUGUGUGACAAAUAUGCAAGAAAUAAAGAUAAAUGUGUACAAUUCUUACAAUUUUACUUUUCUGAAUUUUGCUAUUGCACUGAAUGAUUUGUGAUAAGACAGAUGGGGAUGAAAAAUAUACUUAUUAAAUAAACAGCUAUUAAAAGCCCCUAAAACUCUUUAAAAUGGGAUCUUUUUGUUUGAUUA